rnacentral:rRNA from 1 species
UACGUAGGGUGCAAGCGUUAAUCGGAAUUACUGGGCGUAAAGCGUGCGCAGGCGGUUGUGCAAGACAGAUGUGAAAUCCCCGGGCUUAACCUGGGAAUGGCAUUUGUGACUGCAAGGCUGGAGUGUGGCAGAGGAGACUGGAAUUCCUGGUGUAGCAGUGAAAUGCGUAGAUAUCAGGAGGAAUACCGAUGGCGAAGGCAGGUCUCUGGGCUGACACUGACGCUCAUGCACGAAAGCGUGGGGAGCAAACAGG